CAGUCGCCGCGGUAAUACGUAGGUGGCAAGCGUCGUCCGGAAUUAUUGGGCGUAAAGGGCUCGCAGGCGGUUUCUUAAGUCUGAUGUGAAAGCCCCCGGCUCAACCGGGGAGGGUCAUUGGAAACUGGGAAACUUGAGUGCAGAAGAGGAGAGUGGAAUUCCACGUGUAGCGGUGAAAUGCGUAGAGAUGUGGAGGAACACCAGUGGCGAAGGCGACUCUCUGGUCUGUAACUGACGCUGAGGAGCGAAAGCGUGGGGAGCGAACAGGAUUAGAUACCCCGGUAGUCCCUGUCUCUUAUAA
rnacentral:rRNA from 1 species